GGUAUAGCUCAGUGGUAUAGCACCUGCCUGGCAAGCAUGAGGCCCUGAGUUCAAUUUCUGGUACC
rnacentral:tRNA from 1 species